GUGUCAGCAGCCGCGGUAAUACGAGUGCCCCAAGCGUUAUCCGGAAUUAUUGGGCGUAAAGGGUGUGUAGGCGGUUUUGUUAGUCUUAUGUUAAAGCUCUUGGCUCAACCGAGAAAAUGCAUAGGAAACGGCAAAUCUAGAGGAUGCGAGAGGUGAACAGAACUCAUAGUGUAGGGGUGAAAUCCGUUGAUAUUAUGGGGAAUACCAAAUGCGAAGGCAGUUCACUGGCGCACUCCUGACGCUGAAACACGAAAGCGUGGGUAGCGGAUGGGAUUAGAUACCCCUGUAGUCC
rnacentral:rRNA from 1 species